GGUGGAGUGGCUCAGUAGUAGAGCACCUGCCCAGAAAGCAUGAGGUCCUGAGUUCAAAUCCCAGUGCCACCA